GACGUAGGAGGCGAGCGUUGUCCGGAUUCAUUGGGCGUAAAGAGCACGCAGGCGGUUUGGCAAGUCAGAUGUGAAGAUCCGAGGCUCAACCUCGGACCUGCAUCUGAAACUGCCCGACUAGAGGUAGGUAGGGGAGAUCGGAAUUCCUGGUGUAGCGGUGAAAUGCGCAGAUAUCAGGAGGAACACCGGUAGCGAAGGCGGGUCUCUGGGCCUUACCUGACGCUCAGGUGCGAAAGCUAGGGGAGCGAACAGG
rnacentral:rRNA from 1 species